CCCGCUGAACUUAAGCAUAUCAAUAAGCGGAGGAAAAGAAACUAACAAGGAUUCCCCUAGUAACUGCGAGUGAAGCGGGAAAAGCUCAAAUUUAAAAUCUGGUGGUCUUUGGCCAUCCGAGUUGUAAUUUAGAGAAGCGUCUUCCGCGCUGGACCAUGCACAAGUCUCCUGGAAUGGAGCGUCAUAGAGGGUGAGAAUCCCGUCUUUGGCAUGGACACACCAGGGCUUCUGUGAUGCGCUCUCGAAGAGUCGAGUUGUUUGGGAAUGCAGCUCAAAAUGGGUGGUGAACUCCAUCUAAAGCUAAAUAUUGGCGAGAGACCGAUAGCGAACAAGUACCGUGAGGGAAAGAUGAAAAGCACUUUGGAAAGAGAGUGAAACAGUACGUGAAAUUGUUGAAAGGGAAACGCUUGAAGUCAGUCGCGUCGGCCGAGACUCAGCCUUGCCUCGGCUUGGUGUAUUUCUUGGCCCGACGGGUCAGCAUCAAUUUUGCCCCUUGGAUAAUGGCUAGGGAAAUGUGACACCUUUAUAGGUGCGUUAUAGUCUCUCGUCGCAUGCAAGGGUCAGGAUUGAGGAACUCAGCAUGCACCUUCGGGUGUCGGGGCUUUUGUCCACGAUACAUGCUUAGGAUGUUGGCGUAAUGGCUUUAAACGACCCGUCUUGAAACACGG
rnacentral:rRNA from 1 species